AAAAAACGAUUAUUAUUUCCUAUAUCUCUUCUUGGGCACGCCCACUAGUUGGAUUAAUAUGAGAAUGGCUGGUUUAUACGCGAACAAAAAACCCUCGUAGAGUUAUAAUUAUACAUUUUAUAUUAUUAUGUUGGAUUUUUGAAACCAUAAACAGGGAUAAAUAAUUUUUACUUUUUUAAUAUUGUUAGGUUUUAUAUAAUAGCUCGCGUAUUAUAACGAAUCGUUAAAAAAAAAAAAAAUACGAAUAUAUUAAAAUUAAUAAUUAAUUAAAAUACAAGUAACACAUUAUAUUUAGGUGUAUACAUGCAGUUUCGCAGGGAAUUUCGUAUACUUCUUUGGCUAUUGUUUUCAAGAACACACGUUAAUGAUAACGGAAUCUAAUUAAGUAUGAGUCUUUUUGGCCACUCUAAAAUACGAACUAUAAAAUGAAGAUUUCGGUACAAUCCCACGUAUAUAAUAUCAUCUUUGUCUCGCGGUUUGCUUGCGACGCCACUUGAAUUAAUUUCCGUUAGUUAUUCGAUAUAUUAUAACACUUCACAUUACGAGUUCAAACCCGUAAUACGAAAUACCCUACAUAAGGUCCUGUACAAUUAAUUUAAUAAGUGAAUUCAUAUUAUGGUAUUGUUAUU